GCCUAGCCGUAACACACAAUUAAACAACCAAUUGUUCGCCAAACAACUACGAGCUAUACUUAAAACUUAAAAGACUUGACGGUACUUCAUCACGGCCUAGAGGAGCCUGUCUAAUAACCGACAAUCCACGAUUAACCCAACCCCUUCUUGCCCAACAGUCUAUAUACCGCCGUCGCCAGCUUACCUUGUAAAAGAAAUAAAGUGAGCUAAAUAGUACAACACUAAAACGACAGGUCGAGGUGUAACUUAUGAAGGGGUCAAGAUGGGCUACAUUCUCUCCGAGAAUACGAAUAACACUAUGAAAUUAGUGCUUGAAGGCGGAUUUAGCAGUAAGCUAAGAAUAAAAUACUUAACUGAACAUAACGCAAUG
rnacentral:rRNA from 1 species